CUCAAUAAUUGAGUGAAAGCAAAAAUCUUGCGCGUGUUUUUUUUGCUGGCUUUCUUCUUUCUCUCAAUAUCUCCGCCGUGAAUCGCUACUCUCUCUAUGGCUUAUCUCGAUGUUCGUCAGACUGAGGAUGACAUAAUGGAAUUUGUGAAAAUCCUGGUGGUUGUUGCGGGUGGAUUGGGUUGUGAGCUUCUCAAGGACUUGGCUCUUUUAGGUUUUCGUAAUCUCGAUGUGAUUGAUAUGGACCGUAUCGAGGUUACUAAUCUCAAUCGCCAGUUUCCCUUCCUUCUUUGUCUCUACUAGGGUUUUACCACUAGAAAAAACCCUCAAAAUUGAAGUUUGUUUUUGACCAUGAAAUUGUUCCUUGUGUGUGGUAAUCUCAGUAAGAUAGUUACAAGAUUGUUUGGUUUAUAAUGUUGGUGUCUUGUAUAGACUUGAAGACGUGUGAAAGCCUAAGGCAGGGGUAGCAGCUAGCUAAGCGUUUCAUGGAGAGAGUGAGCGGGGUUGAGAUUCUGCCGCAUUUUUCACGUAUUGAAGACAAAGGAGGUUUGAGUUUUAUAAAGAUUUUAACAUCAUUGCCCUUGGUCUUGAUUCAAUCGAAGCUCAUUGCAUUGAAUAUGCUCAUUUAAUUAAGUGGGAUGAGGUUCACAAUGGAAAAUCCUUUGAUCCUCAUAUCCGAACAUAUGAAGUGGGUCUAGGAUGAGGUUUAACCAUUCUUUUGCUUGUUUUAUGCCUAUGGCCUAUGGGUUUUAAUUUGGGUUUAUUUCAUAUUUGCCAUUAUCUUCAAAGGCUAUCAGGAAAGCUGAGCUUGCUUUUUUGGAAAUCCGGAUGUCACAUACUCUUUUACACAAGUAUGUGUAACCAUUCUCACUUUCUCUGUCUGUUUACUUUCUAAAAUUUUCCAGUAACCGGCUGAACUACUACUACUUUGUAGUUCUGAUGAAAUAAAUACUCUUGUACUUAUUACCAUUGUGUCAUGGUUUAUCUGGCUUGUACUCUGUCUUUGUCAUGGCUUAUAUACUUUGUUUGUGUCAUGGUGUGUAAAACAAAUUCUCUUAAUGCUAAGAAAUUUGCUUUUUAGAACUU